GCCCUGUGGCCCUGGCUGGUGCUCUGGCCGGAGUGCGACAAGCCCCGUGCCCCCGGCUGGAGCUCCGAGCCCUUUAAAUAACCCCCAGAGCGCUGGGGUAGCAGGGGGCUCUGGGGGCUAUUUAAAGGGCCAGGGCUCCAGCUGCCUCUGCCACCCCGGUCCUUUAAAUAGCCGCUGGAGCCCCGCCACCCCCACGCAUUCCCCAGGGCUCCCGUAGCUAUUUAAAAGGUCCAGGGCAGGGUAGAAGCUGGGGAGCCCUGGGCCCUUUAAAUAGCCCCCAAAGCCCUGGGAUAGCAGGGAGCUUGGAGGCUAUUUAAAGGGCUGGGGCUCCAGCUGCCUCUGCUGCACCCCCUGCUCUGCCCACACCAGCCCCGCUCCCCCUGCCUGCAGACAGCUCUGCACCCCGUGCCCACAGUCAGCCCCUGUCAAACCCCCUGCUGUGUCUCCAGUCAACCCCUGCCACACACCCCUGUGGCCCUGCCCAAAGCCAGCCAGCCCCACACACAUUGCUGCCUGCACCAGCCCUGCACUCCCUGCCCUGUCUCCAGCCAACCCCUGCUGCACCCCCCCUGCCUGAAGCCAGCCAGUCUGACACUCCUCUGUCUCCAGCCCUGCCAACCCCUGCUGCAUCCCCCCGUGGUCCUGCCUGAAGCCAGCCCACCUCACACACCCCCUAUCUCCAACCAGCCCCGCACCCCUUUCCCUGCCUGCAGUCAAACCCUACCUCCAGUCAGCCCCUGCCCUGCCUCCUGCCAGCCCCAUGUCCACUUGUGCCCUGCAGUUCCCAGGGCAGUAACCCUGCACACCUGCUUCAAUGAGGGGGGCAGGGAGCAGCUGGGACCCACACAUGUGAAACGGCAGUCAUUAAUAACCAAUCAACAGCAUAUAUGAUGCAAUGUACAUAAUAUAUAAUUUUAUUAUUUAUAUAGUUAUGGAAAGUAAAUAAUACAUGAAAGGCU